AGGAUAUCUGCCUAUAAUGAAACCAAUUUCUCUGCCCAGUAUGGACCAGAUGCAAUUUGGGGGAAGUGCCUUUCUAUUUAUACCCUGUGGAUCCAAUCAGGAAUGGCAAGCAAAAAAGGAGAAAGUUUGAAGUAUAUGCAUUAGAAGAUUGCUGGAAGAGGAAUUGAGCAGUGAGAGAUUGCAAUCAUCACAAAUUGUUCUCCAAGGCAGAAGUAACAGCUAUGGAUAUUUUUGCCCACCAUUUUAUGCCGAAGCACUAACACCAUCCUGUUAGAACGUGGUCUUCUGUUCCCAGGGCUCUGCCUGAGAAUGUGACAGGGAGAUAUUAUAUACAUAGUCCCCAUCUUGCAAUGGCUUGAAUAAAGAUUCUUUGAAUAAAGACUUUUUAACUUUA